GGGGGGAGUAUGGUCGCAAGGUUGAAACUUAAAGGAAUUGACGGAAGGGCACCACCAGGCGUGGAGCUGCGGCUCAAUUUGACUCAACACGGGAAAACUUACCAGGUCCAGACGUAGGAAGGAUUGACAGAUUGAUAGCUCUUUCUUGAUUCUUAUGGGUGGUGGUGCAUGGCCGUUCUUAGUUGGUGGGUUGCCUUGUCAGGUUGAUUCCGGUAACGAACGAGACCUCAGCUGCUAAAUAGUCACGGCUGCAUCCGCAGCUGGCAAACUUCUUAGAGGGACUGUUGGCGACUAGCCAACGGAAGUAUGAGGCAAUAACAGGUCUGUGAUGCCCUUAGAUGUUCUGGGCCGCACGCGCGCUACACUGAUACGUUCAACAAGUUCCUUGGCUCGAAAGGUCUGGGUAAUCUUUGAAACCGUAUCGUGAUGGGGAUAGAACAUUGCAACUAUUGUUCUUCAACGAGGAAUGCUAGUAAUCGCGAGUCAUCAUCUCGCGUUGAUUACGUCCCUGCCCUUUGUACACACCGCCCGUCGCUCCUACCGAUUGGAUGUGCUGGUGAAGACUUCGGAUCGGCCACGCUAACUAGGUCUUCCUAGUUGUGGGGUUGAGAAGUNGUUUAAACCCUCCCAUUUAGAGGAAGGAGAAGUCGUAACAAGGUUUCCGUAGGUGAACCUGCGGAAGGAUCAAAGGGCGAAUUC
rnacentral:rRNA from 1 species